rnacentral:tRNA from 1 species
GUGGUGGCUCAGAGGUACAGUGCUUGCCUAGCAUGCAUGAGGCACUGGGUUCGAUUCUUGGCACUACA